GGACUUCGAAGACUGUCCCUCAUAGGGAAACCGAGGACAGAUCUUGCAGCAAGAACCCCCGACCCCCAACCCAGCGGAGAGGAGACCAGGGGGCCCUCACCUGUGAGCACCCCAGCGGUCAGGGCGCUGAAGGACGAGGGGAGGACGACGGGUCCCACCUGACUCUGCACCUCUGCAGGCUCCCUCUGAAGGACAACUGCUGGCCCCUCAGGGCCUCAGGUGGAAGGCGUCGGGAAGUGGAGCAGAGAUAGGGUCUCACAGUGUUGCUCAAGCUGAUGUUGAACUGUUGGAAUCAAGAGAUCCUCCUGCCCCAGUCUCCCUAGUAGCUGGGACUACAAGUGUGUGCCGCCGCACCUGCCACCCUCCUCACUGUUUGGGCCCCCAUGUGAGGACUCACCUCGGGAAGAGCUCCUGUGGCUAUGUGAGUCAAGGAUGGAACGAUGGUCCCAGAACAUCCCAGGAGGGUGUGACAGCCUCCAUCUAGAAGGUUCUAUCCUCAGGUCCCCAAGGCAUCUGCAGCACACCGUCCUCUGCUGUGGGUCUGUGAAGCAGCCACUCCAGCAGCAGGACAGUGGUGCCUGUCCAUUCCCUCUGCUAGCUGCCAGCCCUGCUGUCCUCCGCACUUUCUGGCAACCUCACUGUAUGAAACUCCCCAAAUCCUCCUCCACGUCAAGUGUCAAAACAGCCCAGUUUAAGUGCUUUCAGGAUUUCCACGGAGCCUGACCGCAAAGAGGUGAGCACAUUUAAGCCCCUACUCCCAGCCCAGCCCCCUGCAUCAGAGUUCCAGGGCUGACUCUGCAGAGGGGAAGCAGCCUCCUCCCAGAGGCAGGCACACAGUAGGUGCUCAAGCAAUAGGAUUUCUGCCAUUUCCACACUUUUGGAAGAACCUGCCCAUCCCCCAUCCUCUGCCCGCUCUCAAGGACCGUCAUCCUGAACUUGGUAAGGCGGCUCUUCCUACUCCCACUGAAUGAAUGAGGAAACUGAGGCAGGGUGCGGGGGUCGGGAGGAGAGGAGCAUUGUCCGAGGCCCCCGGGGGAGGCCAGGGAAACCUCAGUCCGGCAGGUCCCCGGGUUCCCGGCCCCCAGGGCCUUCUUCUCAACCCACCCCCGGCCCCUCCAAGGCUCCC
rnacentral:lncRNA from 1 species